GCCGACGUAGCUCAGUGGUAGAGCAACUGAUUCGUAAUCAGUAGGUC
rnacentral:tRNA from 1 species